rnacentral:rRNA from 1 species
CCCUUAGAUGUUCUGGGCCGCACGCGCGCUACACUGAUGCAUUCAACGAGUCUAAAACCUGCUCUGAUAGGGGUGGGUAAUCUUUUGAAUGUGCAUCGUGAUUGGGAUAGAUGAUUGCAAUUUUUCAUCUUCAACGAGGAAUGCCUAGUAAACGCAAGUCAUCAGCUUGCAUUGAUUACGUCCCUGCCCUUUGUACACACCGCCCGUCGCUCCUACCGAUUGAAUGAUCCGAUGAAUAUCAUGGAUUGAGGAUGCAAGUAGGUUCGCCUAUCUUCAUCUUCGAGAAGUGAAGUAAAUCUUACCAUUUAGAGGAGGGAGAAGUCGUAACA